CUUAUGGCCUGGCAGGAGGAGCUGCCAUCAGCCCUCACAGAAUCCUACCUGUCAUGUCCCAGUGUUAGGAAUCAUAGGGAGAAGCAGUGAAAAAGCAGCUGCUGCUUGUAGAGCAUGACUUCUGUGACUGACAGACAUGGGAGGCAAUCCCAGGCUUGCUUUUUGUGUCAGAAAUGCAGGUGUUAGAGGGACCUAAAAUCAGAGACUAAAGGUUGGUGGAGGGGAGCAGCAGAGAAAAAAAGUAAAUAACAGACAGAGAGGGGAGUGGUGGAAAUGUCUGUGAGAAGGUGGCAGAGUUGCUUGUGAGAGGAAGAGAGCUAUGAGAAGAACAAGAGAAAUUAGGAGAAGAAAAGAUGCAGGUCUGUCUGGUUAUUAUUUUUGGAACAAUCUGAAACAUGAUUUGGAUGUUUGUCUUGCUGCUGGUUCUUUGAGUAGUUACAAAGAAUGUAAAACCCACAUUAAAAGCUUGAGCUAAGGAACUGUUGAAAAAGCAAACUACAAGGAUCCCAAGGAUCUGCAGAAGCUGCGCAGACAGGAAAUAAAUUCAGCGCUGUCUCAUGCA
rnacentral:lncRNA from 1 species